rnacentral:tRNA from 1 species
AGUGUUGUGGCCCAGUGGGUUAAGGCACUGGCUUGCAACGCCAGCAUCCCAUAUCAGAGCACUGGUUUAAGUCCUGGCUGCUCUG